UCCUCCGUGGCGCAAUUGGCUAGCGCGUUCGGCUGUUACCCAGCAGCAGCAGCAAACCGAGAGGUUGGUGGUUCGAGCCCACCCGGGGAGU